AGUUUGAUCCUGGCUCAGAACGAACGUUGGCGGCGUGGAUUAGGCAUGCAAGUCGAACGAAUGCCUUUUGGGGUAACUUAGAAGGCGGAAGUGGCGAAAGGGGCAGUAAUGCAUGGGUAACUUACCCUGGAGUCAGGCAUAGCCGUCCUAACGGACGGGUAAUUCUUGAUGGCCCAGCGAGGUGGCAUCAUUUUGCUGGUAAAGAAUUUCGCUCCGGGAGAGACCCAUGUCGUAUUAGCUAGUUGGCGGGGUAACGGCCCACCAAGGCUAAGAUGCGUAGCGGGUGUGAGAGCACGACCCGCGCCACUGGCACUGAGACACUGGCCAGACACCUACGGGUGGCUGCAGUCGAGGAUCUUCGUCAAUGGGCGAAAGCCUGAACGAGCGACGCCGCGUGCGCGAUGAAGGCCUUCGGGUUGUAAAGCGCGAAAGUGGGGACGAAGCCGAAAGGUUGACCGAUCCACAGUAAGCUCGGGCUAAGUUCGUGCCAGCAGCCGCGGUAAGACGAACCGAGCGAACGUUGUUCGGAAUCACUGGGCUUAAAGGGCGCGUAGGCGGGUAUUCAAGUCUGUGGUGAAAUCCGGCAGCUCAACUGUCGAAUUGCCGUGGAUACUGGGUAUCUCGAGGGAGGUAGGGGUGCGCGGAACUGAUGGUGGAGCGGUGAAAUGCGUUGAUAUCAUCAGGAACUCCCGGUGGCGAAGGCGGCGCACUGGACCUCUUCUGACGCUGAGGCGCGAAAGCCAGGGGAGCAAACGGGAUUAGAUACCCCGGUAGUCCUGGCCCUAAACGUUGGGUACUAGAUAGUAGGGUUCACAUGGCUUUACUGUCGAAGCAAAAGUGCUAAGUACCCCGCCUGGGGAGUAUGGUCGCAAGGCUGAAACUCAAAGGAAUUGACGUUGGCUCCAG
rnacentral:rRNA from 1 species